rnacentral:rRNA from 1 species
UCAAGAUGAGUGUUCUCACCACUUUAAGUGGGUAAGGUCACGGGCAGAACACCCGUUUAUAGGCUCUAUGUGGAAGUACAGUAAUGUAUGUAGCAGAGGGGUACUAAUAGACCGAGGGCUUGACCUCA